rnacentral:rRNA from 1 species
UACGGAGGGUGCAAGCGUUAUCCGGAUUCACUGGGCUUAAAGGGUGCGUAGGCGGCUUGUUAAGUCACGGGUGAAAGUUUUCGGCCCAACCGGAAAAUUGCCCGUGAUACUGGCGAGCUUGAGUGCGGGAGGGGUGGGGGGAACGAGCAGUGUAGCGGUGAAAUGCGUAGAUAUUGCUCGGAAGGCCGGAGCCGAAGGGGCCCCACUGGUACGUGACUGACGCUGAGGCACGAAAGCGUGGGGAGCAAACAGG